rnacentral:rRNA from 1 species
UGGGGAAUAUUGCACAAUGGGCGCAAGCCUGUUGCAGCCAUGCCGCGUGUAUGAAGAAGGCCUUCGGGUUGUAAAGUACUUUCAGCGGGGAGGAAGGGAGUAAAGUUAAUACCUUUGCUCAUUGACGUUACCCGCAGAAGAAGCACCGGCUAACUCCGUGCCAGCAGCCGCGGUAAUACGGAGGGUGCAAGCGUUAAUCGGAAUUACUGGGCGUAAAGCGCACGCAGGCGGUUUCUUAAGUCUGAUGUGAAAGCCCCCGGCUCAACCGGGGAGGGUCAUUGGAAACUGGGAGACUUGAGUGCAGAAGAGGAGAGUGGAAUUCCAUGUGUAGCGGUGAAAUGCGUAGAUAUAUGGAGGAACACCAGUGGCGAAGGCGGCUCUCUGGUCUGUAACUGACGCUGAGGCUCGAAAGCGUGGGGAGCAAACAGG